rnacentral:rRNA from 1 species
CGGAGGGUCCAAGCGUUAAUCGGAAUUACUGGGCGUAAAGCGCGCGUAGGUGGAUAAUUAAGUCAGAUGUGAAAGCCCUGGGCUCAACCUAGGAACGGCAUUUGAUACUGGUUAUCUAGAGUAUGGUAGAGGUGAGUGGAAUUUCAGGUGUAGCGGUGAAAUGCGUAGAGAUCUGAAGGAACAUCAGUGGCGAAGGCGACUCACUGGGCCAUUACUGACACUGAGGUGCGAAAGCGUGGGUAGCAAACAGGAUU